GGAUCUCUUUCUGGAGAUUGUUCCCUUAGGAGUCCUUCUGUGAGCCUAUGACACAGUCCUCUGAGCGCCAUCUGGAAAGACUACCUGUACUCCCAUAUGGAGCACAUCCCCUUUCUGUGGGUGCAAGUGGGCAGCUCUGCAGGCCCUGGCCUCUCCCAAGCUCCUGGCCAAGCCUGCUGAAAACCAUUAUCAAAAUACCUCUCAGCCCAUCUCAUCUUCCCUGCAGUACAGAAGUUCUGUGAGUUUAGGCUCAACCCAGAAGCACACUCGCAUUCUUCAACCACAUCAAAAACAUUAUCUUGGGCAUUAGCAGCCAACAUGCCUUUGUGGGUAUGUGUUGUAAAUACUUCAAACUUCAACAAGACAAAGACCAGAAAACACUAAGCAGUUCAGCAUUGCUGCUAAAAUGAAACAGCGGUGGAAGAAAUGGUAUAAAGCCAGAAUUCUUCUUUUGAAAUUAAUCUCAAAGAGAUUUCAGACCUCUUCCGGGUGCCUGCUCCUUGCAUUCCCUGUGCAGAAGUUCAACAUGAGGUCUAACAUAAGAAGCAUGCUGUUCCUGGAGCCAGUGGGGUUAAGGUGAAGAAAAUAUUGUAACAGUGAGUUUUCAUCUUGAAUGUCUCCCCUUUCAGCAUUGAGAACUGGAUGUCCAAGACCACCCUGGCAAAGGGAGGAGAUAACAUAACCUGGUCUGAAAACAUAACAGAACAGUUUGUUCUGGGGAAAGGUGGAUCAUCAUGUUGUGCACCAGCUGUCAAAGGAUGUAUGCUAGGUUUUCUGUCUUGCAGGCUGCAAAUUGACCUCUUCUGCCACCCAGCAGUGCCCACUAACUGCUGGGUUAAAGGCUGCUCUGGGCAAGAACAUCUUCAUUCUCCUUCCAUACCUAACAGGAAAGUGCUCUUUCCCACUAGCAAAAAGCACUUAAUAAUGUAUUAGAGAACAUAGGCUGGAAAGGAAGGGAGCCCAAAUCAUUCUGCACUGUAGGGAAAGGGAAAUUCAAGAAUUCAGCUACUGCUUGAAAGAAAAAUACUUCUCUACAUUUUUUACUAACACCUUUGCCUGUCAGCCCUGCAAGCUCUAUGUCUAAAAGCUGCCUGCUUAUAGCUUUGAGAAGACAGAGGUACCUAUUCUUAAUUAAAAAAAAAAAAAAAGUAUAAAAGUGCCUUUCCUUUUAUCAAGCAAGAAGGGAGAAUGCUUCAUCCCUAAUGUACAUCCAUUAUGUGACAGUUUGGGACAAUAUUUUUUAAUGCACACAUCCAGUUUUUGACUAGGUUAAAUGCAACAGCUGUAUUCCCAAUUGCAACCACUCAGGCAAGGGCAAUAGCCUCACCUCUGAUAGAGCUGGCAAAUGCUGGAAAAAAAAGCCAAACACAGACAUGUGUUUUCUCAUCUUGCUGCAUUUUUACUGCUUUCUCCUUUUGACAUUCUCUCCCUACUUUCUGACACCCAGAUGUGUUCUUGCUAGGAUGCAUCUGUUUUGUUUCCAGAUUCUCUGCAUCUGCUCUGCUUUCGGGAAAGCAAACUAUGCUUUGUCUAAACUUUUAUACAUGCCUCAGUUUUCAAGGCUCAGUUGCUAUCCAGUUCCUAGAGCCUCUACCUGACUGAUGGGUAUGCUGUAUUAAGGCAAAGUGUUUGAAAUACAUUAACUCCUGAAGGUUUAUUAAGAGAGAUAGUAUUUUUUUGAAAAUGUAAUUCCUAAUGAACUCAGCUAAGAAAACAUUAGUCUUUUUAAAAAUAUCUCUUAGAAACAUCCCCUCAAGUGCAGCAAUUUGCAAGUUUGUAAGUUUAUUUCUUCUAUUUGCAUUAAUGGUUGGAUUUUGUUAUUGUUUGUGUCUUUUUGUUUGUUUGUUCUCUUAAAGCCUACCUCAGGUUAAAACCUGAGUUAACCACAGAGAAGACUGAAAAUUGUUUUCAAACUUUCUUGAGCACAAUUAAUCUAAUGCUUUAACAGCUGGCAGCUGCAGUAAUUACUUUUAGAUUAUACCUAAAGUCUGUUGAAAUCUAAUUACUCUGAUCUAUGAACCAGGUAAUUAGGGUAAAAACUCCCGCAUUUUCUUAGAUCUCAUUAGCUUAUUUCCUUUGAAAAUCGUUAGCUAAUGAUGGUACAUUAAGAGUUUAUCCAUAAAAUGAAAAUGAAUAAUUGAAACCUUUGUCCUGGGACAUCAGAGGACAGAAUAAUGCUUAACUGCUCAAUGUCUAGAUGGAUAUUUCUUCAUUUACAGUGCAAAUAUCAUGCCAGUUUGGGGAGAAAGAACCAAUUGAGCUGGGAAAGUGGCCAGGAAAGACAAAUAUUUUCAUUUUCAUGUAUUUGGUAUCCAUAAAAUAACUCAGGACUUCCACUGGCAUAUGCAGACCCCUGAGAAGCACCACUACCUAUUGAUACUCAGGCUGCCUGGAACUCUACUUCAAGUACAAAGAGACACCCAGGCCCUGGACCCGAUUGGUGCAUGGCAGCAGGCAUUUGAGUGUGGAAAUGCUGUGAUUUUAGCCUUGUUGCAGGCUGCCUGGCCUGUUUCCCUGUCUCAGAGCUGUCUGCAAGCUCUGAGAUGUUGUGUGCUGUGUCUCCACCUGCAGCAUCCUCCUCUCUCCCCAGCACAAAGCUUGUGCAGAGCCAGAGGAUGAGUUUUCACUGAUAUACAUUGAAAAUUUUGGAUCCUUGUGCUUUGUGCCUGUGUCAGGAAGCAAAGAGAAAGAGUUGCAUGCAUCUCUCACCCCAAAUGAGGGUGUAUUGAGACGCCUAUGGGACACAGUUACUAGGAUGUUAGGAACAACUGCAGCCCUUAAAUGGUGGCUAAGCUGCUUACCUUUAUUUUGACGAGCCUAAAGCUUGUGUUAUUUAGAACUAUAUUGUUCAUUAUACAGCACAAGCUGUAAUCUGACAAGAUGCAGCAGGCAGUGGCUGUGUUGCCAUCCUCUGCUCUUCAUCGUGGGAAGGCGGCUCCAGCCAUUCUCCAGGUAAAGUUUUUAUAAGGAUGGAGGACCCAAGUCAGCAGACUUCCUGAGAAACUUCUGCCUUCGAGCCCCCUGUCCCAGUUUCCCCAGCUUCUGAUGCCAAGUUUUUAUGAUUAAUCCUUCAUAUUGUGUUGUCAUCUGGAAGAGUGUGAUCAGCAUCUGGAUCUGACUGUGCUAGACAUUGUGAUGAUGUACAAUGCAAACUCAACUUUUUCUUAAUAAUCAUAUCUAAUGUACAAAAGUAAAAUAACUCUACAGUUAUAUGGACUAUGUAAUCACAGAAAUUGAUGGAUAAACCAAUGCUUUACUGAAAUCAGUGUAACAAAUCAAAUACCAGAAAUUCUAUUAAUCACUUAAGAGCUGUGUAGAAUAAGCACAUUGGCCUCAGGAUUUCUUGGGGCCAUCUCCUGAGCAUUAGGUGCAGCACUAUGCAGGUAACUGUUGCGUAGAAUCUUAGAGAAGGAAUCCAACUGUACUGAAGUAUGUAAUCUUUAAAAGCCUAAAAGCUUCAAUUGCAGCUGCUCUGUAAAACAGCAACUUCAGUAGGAAGUUUUCAAAGCAUUGGCUUUGGAUCAUAACUCAAAGAGAAGUUUUGGGAGAUCAUCAGUUAGACCUUCAAGGACCUGAGUACGUCUGCUGGGAUCACUGUAUACAAGGAGAAGAAAACAGUCUGAAACUGAGUUUAAGUUGCCUUCAAUUUUCUCUCCAAUAAUGAUACAUCAUUUAUGAAGUCUAAAAAAGUAAUAAACUCAGAUUUUCUGUAAGGCAUUUUAUUAAUAAGGAAAUGAGUUAAGCAAAUGAGCUAAUUUAAAAAAUUAAGGAUAAAAAUAUUGAUUCAAUAUAAGAGAGAUACCCAUAUGGCUACUCAGGAAAUCCUGCUGUAAGAAAUUACCAAGACCAGUUUACCAGAUACGUAACUGCUAAAAGAUUAAAUCAAUCAGCGUUGGAACUGUUUUUUCUCAGGAAAGAGGAUGCUGUGAAAUCAGCUCCUUUCAAAUCACUGUAUAUUCCCAAUGGUCAAAACUUGGACUGGAAGC